rnacentral:rRNA from 1 species
GAUGAACGCUGGCGGCGUGCCUAAUACAUGCAAGUCGAGCGAACGGACGAGAAGCUUGCUUCUCUGAUGUUAGCGGCGGACGGGUGAGUAACACGUGGAUAACCUACCUAUAAGACUGGGAUAACUUCGGGAAACCGGAGCUAAUACCGGAUGAUAUUUUGAACCGCAUGGUUCAAAAGUGAAAGACGGUCUUGCUGUCACUUAUAGAUGGAUCCGCGCUGCAUUAGCUAGUUGGUAAGGUAACGGCUUACCAAGGCAACGAUGCAUAGCCGACCUGAGAGGGUGAUCGGCCACACUGGAACUGAGACACGGUCCAGACUCCUACGGGAGGCAGCAGUAGGGAAUCUUCCGCAAUGGGCGAAAGCCUGACGGAGCAACGCCGCGUGAGUGAUGAAGGUCUUCGGAUCGUAAAACUCUGUUAUUAGGGAAGAACAUAUGUGUAAGUAACUGUGCACAUCUUGACGGUACCGAAGCAGAAAGCCACGGCUAACUACGU